GUCCACGUUGCGGCGGACCAGAGCCAGAAUCCUGCGAGGAUGAUGGCGGCGGCCGGCCAAAGCCUCGUCGUCAUGACGGUGAGGCCGGUCGC
rnacentral:sRNA from 1 species